AUAUUUCCUUUGGCAACAAAGAACCUAGAAUUGGAAUGAUACAGAAAAGAUUAGUAUGGCCUCUGCGCAAGGCUGACAUGCAAAUUAGAGAAUUAUUCCUUACUUUU
ensembl:snRNA U6 U6 spliceosomal RNA